rnacentral:rRNA from 1 species
GCAAGUCGAACGGUAACAGGACGCUCUGAUUCCUUCGGGAUGAAGUUGUCGCUGACGAGUGGCGGACGGGUGAGUAACACGUAGGAACCUAUCUUUUAGUUUGGGACAACCAAGGGAAACUUUGGCUAAUACCGGAUGUGGUCUUUUAAAGACUAAAGCCUUCGGGCGCUAAGAGGUGGGCCUGCGUCAGAUUAGCUUGUUGGUGGGGUAAAGGCCUACCAAGGCGACGAUCUGUAGCUGGUCUGAGAGGACGAUC